rnacentral:rRNA from 1 species
GACGGACCGUACGAACGUUAUUCGGAAUUAUUGGGCGUAAAGAGCGUGUAGGCGGUCAGGUAGGUCGGUUGUGAAAACUGGAGGCUCAACCUUCAGAGGUCGACCGAAACCCCCUGGCUAGAGUCCGGGAGAGGAGAGUGGAAUUCCUGGUGUAGCGGUGAAAUGCGCAGAUAUCAGGAAGAACACCCGUGGCGAAAGCGGCUCUCUGGAACGGUACUGACGCUGAGACGCGAAAGCGUGGGGAGCGAACAGG